rfam:Schistosoma rodhaini strain Burundi genome assembly, scaffold: SROB_scaffold0002799
GCACUGCCGAGGAGUCCAAGAAUAGAACGAAACGGCCGCCCAGUAC